AUUAUUGAAAAUAAUAAGACAUGGAUUUGGAUAUUUCCCUUUAACUAUUCAUGUCAACUAAACGGGGGGAUUGAAGGGAAUUUUGUGAAGAGAAAAUGGAUUAUGGGAGUGUGUGACGUGAACUAUUGAUUGGUCUGUGUAGAUAUAUGCCUGCCGCAUGGGAAUUCACAACCAAGUGUGUCUUUGUUCGAAUCGUCGUGUAAGCCCUAUACAGAGGAUAG
rnacentral:lncRNA from 1 species